rnacentral:rRNA from 1 species
UACGGAGGGAGCUAGCGUUAUUCGGAAUUACUGGGCGUAAAGCGCACGUAGGCGGAUAUUUAAGUCAGAGGUGAAAUCCCGGAGCUCAACUUCGGAACUGCCUUUGAUACUGGGUAUCUUGAGUAUGGAAGAGGUAAGUGGAAUUGCGAGUGUAGAGGUGAAAUUCGUAGAUAUUCGCAGGAACACCAGUGGCGAAGGCGGCUUACUGGUCCAUUACUGACGCUGAGGUGGCGAAAGCGUGGGGAGCAAACAGG